AAAAUGAAACAGAGGAUCCACAUGGUGAUUGGGUUUUCACACAUUUGUGAGACAUGUGCCCCCCAUAAUCCCUGUUAUGACACCGGCACAUUGCCCGUGUGACA
rnacentral:snoRNA from 1 species